rnacentral:rRNA from 1 species
GGACUACAAGGGUAUCUAAUCCCGUUCGCUCCCCGCGCUUUCGCGUCUCAGCGUCAGUAACGGACCAGGGCGCCGCCUUCGCCACGGGUGUUCCUCCUGAUCUCUACGCAUUUCACCGCUACACCAGGAAUUCCACGCCCCUCUUCCGUCCUCAAGCCCCCCAGUCUCGGGCGGCAUCCCGGGGUUGAGCCCCGGGCUUUCACACCCGACUUAACGAGCCGCCUACACGCGCUUUACGCCCAGUAAAUCCGGACAACGCUCGCCCCCUACGUAUUACCGCGGCUGCUGGCAC